rfam:Podospora anserina genomic DNA, chromosome 3.
UCUUCCGUAGUAUAGUGGUCAGUAUGUGAGCUUGUCAUCUCUCAGUUGUCAACGCUCGAGACCCGGGUUCAAUUCCCGGCGGGAGAG